rfam:Brachypodium distachyon strain Bd21 chromosome 4, whole genome shotgun sequence.
GGAUGCGAUCAUACCAGCACUAAAGCACCGGAUCCCAUCAGAACUCCGAAGUUAAGCGUGGUUGGGCGAGAGUGGUACUUGGAUGGGUGACCUCCUGGGAAGUCCUCGUGUUGCAUUCC